rnacentral:rRNA from 1 species
AGUCACUGACAUUAGAUACCCCGGUAGUCCUAGCCGUAAACGAUACUCGCUAGGUGUCGGCCACGGUGCGACCGUUGUCGGUGCCGUAGGGAAGCCGUGAAGCGAGCCGCCUGGGAAGUACGGCCGCAAGGCUGAAACUUAAAGGAAUUGGCGGGGGAGCACAACAACGGGUGGAGCUUGCGGUUUAAUUGGAUUCAACGCCGGAAAUCUUACCGGGACCGACAGCAACAUGAAGGCCAAGCUGAAGACUUUGCCGGAUUAGCUG